ACUCCUACGGGAGGCAGCAGUAGGGAAUCUUCCACAAUGGGCGCAAGCCUGAUGGAGCAACACCGCGUGAGUGAAGAAGGGUUUCGGCUCGUAAAGCUCUGUUGUUAAAGAAGAACACGUAUGAGAGUAACUGUUCAUACGUUGACGGUAUUUAACCAGAAAGUCACGGUUAACUACGUGCCAGCAGCCGCGGUAAUACGUAGGUGGCAAGCGUUAUCCGGAUUUAUUGGGGCGUAAAGAGAGUGCAGGCGGUUUUCUAGGUCUGAUGUGAAAGCCUUCGGCUUAACCGGAGAAGUGCAUCGGAAACUGGAUAACUUGAGUGCAGAAGAGGGUAGUGGAACUCCAUGUGUAGCGGUGGAAUGCGUAGAUAUAUGGAAGAACACCAGUGGCGAAGGCGGCUACCUGGUCUGCAACUGACGCUGAGACUCGAAAGCAUGGGUAGCGAACAGGAUUAGAUACCCUGGUAGGAUAGCG
rnacentral:rRNA from 1 species